GAGCAUUAAACUAAUGAGUAAGGAAAACAAAGUGAGUGUUGAAAACCGUUCACAACAUAGCUAAAAUGUCUAUGAAAAAUUUAUGGAGGGGUGAUUGGUUGGCCGAGUGCUGACAUUGCUUACUUUGCAGGAUUAUUGUAACCAGGAUCAUAAAUAUUUUCC
rfam:Picea glauca, whole genome shotgun sequence.